GAUGAACGCUGGCGGCGUGCCUAACACAUGCAAGUCGAGCGAACGGACGCGAAGCUUGCUUGUCUGAUGUUAGCGGCGGACGGGUGAGUAACACGUGGAUAACGUCCCUAUAAGACUGGGAUCAUUUCGGGAAACCGGCGCUAAUACCGGAUAAUAUUUUGAACCGCAUGGUUCAAAAGAGAAUGACGGUCUUGCUGUCACUUAUAGAUGGAUCCAAGCUGCAUUAGAUAGUUGGUAAGGUAACGGCUUACCAAGGCAACGAUGCAUAGCCCACCUGAGAGGGUGGUCGGCGACACUGGAACUGAGACACGGUCCAGACUCCUACGGUAGGCAGCAGUAGGGAAUCUUCCGCAAUGGGCGAGAGCCUGACGGAGCAACGCCGCGUGAGUGAUGAAGGUCUUCGGAUCGUAAAGCUCUGUUAUUUGGGGAGAACAUAUGUGUAAGUAGCAGUGCAGAUAUUGACGGUACCUAAUCAAAAAGCCCCGGCUAACUACGUG
rnacentral:rRNA from 1 species